AUUGAACGCUGGCGGCAUGCCUUACACAUGCAAGUCGAGCGGUAACAGGUCUUCGGAUGCUGACGAGUGGCGAACGGGUGAGUAAUACAUCGGAACGUGCCCGAUCGUGGGGGAUAACGGAGCGAAAGCUUUGCUAAUACCGCAUACGUUCUACGGAUGAAAGCAGGGGACCGCAAGGCCUUGCGCGGACGGAGCGGCCGAUGGCAGAUUAGGUAGUUGGUGGGAUAAAAGCUUACCAAGCCGACGAUCUGUAGCUGGUCUGAGAGGACGACCAGCCACACUGGGACUGAGACACGGCCCAGACUCCUACGGGAGGCAGCAGUGGGGAAUUUUGCACAAUGGGCGAAAGCCUGAUCCAGCCAUGCCGCGUGCAGGAUGAAGGCCUUCGGGUUGUAAACUGCUUUUGUACGGAACGAAAAGACUCUUUCUAAUAAAGAGGGUCCAUGACGGUACCGUAAGAAUAAGCACCGGCUAACUACGUG
rnacentral:rRNA from 1 species